CUUCCAGUAGCACCUUAAAGACCAAGUAAGUUUGUUAUUGGUAUGAGCUUUCGUGUGCAUGCACACUUCUUCAGAUACACACUUAUCCGAAUAAGUAUUGCAUGCACACAAAAGCUCAUACCAAUAACAAACUUAGUUGGUCUCUAAGGUGCUACUGGAAG